rnacentral:rRNA from 1 species
AACGGAGGGUGCAAGCGUUGUUCGGAAUCACUGGGCGUAAAGGGCGAGUAGGUGGUGAGGUAAGUCAGAUGUGAAAUCCCUUGGCUUAACCAAGGAAGAGCAUUUGAAACUGUCUUACUAGAGUACGGGAGAGGGAAGUGGAAUUCCUAGUGUAGAGGUGAAAUUCGUAGAUAUUAGGAGGAACACCGGUGGCGAAGGCGACUUCCUGGACCGAUACUGACACUGAGGCGCGAAAGCGUGGGGAG